rnacentral:snRNA from 1 species
GAGCUCAUGAAGCCUGGCUAGGAGGGUUUCCCCUUCCUUCCUCAGCACUUCAUGUGCGUCCCUCCCGAAGCUGCACGCUCAGUGGAAGAGGACGACCACCCCUGACAGAGGAGGACCAUUCAUCGGUCAAGUGUAUAGGAGUAGCUGCACUGCCCUGCUAGAAACACUGAAUCUUCCUGCCUCAGCUUCCUGGGUAGGUAAGAUCACAAAGCACACCACCACACCUGGUUAACGCUUGGUUUUUGAUACUAGGCCUUUACUU